rnacentral:misc_RNA from 1 species
UCACUAAUCAAGCCCGGCUUGCUGUUGGACCUUUUGUCGUGAAAAGACAGGUCCUAAAGAUAAUGACGGCGUCAGUUGGACCCUAGAUGCAACGAGCUUUAACCAGCACGCAUUUGUAGUUGGCCCUUUUGACCCGGUCUUUUUUAACCAAUUUUUUAA